CUGCUCCGGNACACAGAAGGGAACUUUCUGCUAAUCCCGGAUAAGCCUACGGGUGAAAGAUUAAUUCGCCUGGAGAUGAGCUCGCGUCUGAUUAGCUAGUUGGUAAGGUAAAAGCUUACCAAGGCGACGAUCAGUAGCUCGGUCUGAGAGGAUGAGCAGCCACACUGGGACUGAGACACGGCCCAGACUCCUACGGGAGGCAGCAGUGGGGAAUUUUCCGCAAUGGGCGAAAGCCUGACGGAGCAAGACCGCGUGGGGGAGGAAGGCUCUAGGGUUGUAAACCCCUUUUCUUUGGGAAGAAGUACUGACGGUACCAAAGGAAUCAGCCUCGGCUAACUCCGUGCCAGCAGCCGCGGUAAUACGGAGGAGGCAAGCGUUAUCCGGAAUGAUUGGGCGUAAAGCGUCCGCAGGUGGCCAUGUAAGUCUGCUGUCAAAACCCAGGGCUUAACUCUGGUUAGGCAGUGGAAACUACAAAGCUAGAGUCUGGUAGGGGCCAAGGGAAUUCCCGGUGUAGCGGUGAAAUGCGUAGAGAUCGGGAAGAACAUCGGUGGCGAAAGCGCUUGGCUAGACCAGAACUGACACUCAGGGACGAAAGCUAGGGGAGCGAAUGGGAUUAGUCCCCNNAAUUANACA
rnacentral:rRNA from 1 species